rnacentral:tRNA from 1 species
UCCGGCGUGGGGUAAUUGGCAACCCAUUGGGUUUUGGUCCCAAAUAUCCUGGUUCGAGUCCAGGCGCCGGAA